rnacentral:rRNA from 1 species
ACCCUACUAUGCCUUAGCUGUAAAAAAACAAUUAAACAACCAAUUGUUCGCCAAAUAACUACGAGCAAAAGCUUAAAAUUUAAAAGACUUGACGGUACUUCACAACAGCCUAGAGGAGCCUGUCCAAUAACCGAUAAUCCACGAUCAACCCAACCACCACUAGCCACACAGUCUAUAUACCGCCGUCGCCAGCCUACCUUGUGAAAGCAAAAAAGUAAGCACAACAGCACAUAACGCUAACACGACAGGUCGAGGUGUAACUAAUGAGGUGGACAAGAUGGGCUACAUUUUCUAACACAGAACAAACGGAUAUACCAUGAAACUGGAAACUGAAGGAGGAUUUAGCAGUAAGAUAAGAACAACACACUCAACUGAAAAUAGCAAUGAAGUGCGUACACACCGCCCGUCAUCCCUACAAAUCAAUACUUAUAUACAUAAAACAAAAUAAACCAAAUAACUA